CCUACGGGAGGCUGCAGUGGGGAAUAUUGGACAAUGGGGGAAACCCUGAUCCAGCGACGCCGCGUGAGUGAAGAAGUAUCUCGGUACGUAAAGCUCUAUCAGCAGGAAAGAAAAUGACGGUACCUGACUAAGAAGCCCCGUCUAACUACGUGCCAGCAGCCGCGGUAAUACGGAGGCGGCAAGCGUGAUCCGGAUUUACUGGGUGUAAAGGGAGCGUAGACGGUAGCGGAAGUCUGGAGUGAAAUGCCGGGGCCCAACCCCAGAACUGCUGUGGAAACUGUGAAGCUGGAGUGCAGGAGAGGUAAGCGGAAUUCGUGGUGUAGCGGUGAAAUGCGUAGAUAUCAGGAGGAACACCGGUGGCGAAGGCGGCUUACUGGACUGUAACGGACGUUGAGGCUCGAAGGCGUGGGGAGCAAACAGGAUUAGAUACCCGUGUAGUC
rnacentral:rRNA from 1 species